rnacentral:tRNA from 1 species
GGCAGUGGCUCAGCGGUAGAGCAUUCGCCUAGCAUGUUUGAGGACCUGGGUUCAAUCCUCAGCACCA